GCCCCCUGAUGACCCCAUGCGUGUCACAUGACCCCCUGGGGGGGGGUCCCAGCCCUGCGUUCUGCUCGGCCAAAGCCCCCCCCCCCAAAUGGGAGUGAUCACAGCAAUGAGGCUGAGGGC